GUAUUCAGGUAACUGAAGACUUUGUGUCUCCAGAACAUCUUGUACAGUCAUUUCAUUUAACACAGGAACUGAGACUUUUGAAGGAAGAAAUCAAUUAUGACGAUAAACUACAGGUUAAAAAUAUCUUGUAUCAUGCAGUCAAGGAAAUGGUGAGAUCUUUGAAGAUACAUGAAGAUGAAGUAGAGGCUAUGGAAGAAAACUAGGUGGGGUCCACUUUGAUGUUUUUAGGCCACUGAACUGGAAUUAACUACUCUUGAACGCUGAUAUGUAUGUACACUGACCUAAGCUUCAUAAACCAUCAGUGCCAAGAAAUUCUCUUUGUAGUAAUUACUUGUUACUGACACCACAGCGGUAUAGCAUAGUCACAGCUCCUGUGAUUCAUUGUUAUUAAAACAAGCUAAAUUUUAAAAGCAGCAGUUCAUAGCUGUUUUUGUAUUAUAGUGUAUAUGAUGUUUGUGAAAAUGCCAGAUUUAAAAUGAUGUAUUUAUUUUUGGAAAAAAAUACAAAAAUUCUAUGCUAUAUUGUUGAUCAAGUGUAAAUGUGACCUUGUACAGUUUACUAAAAUAACUGAUAUUUUUCACUACAUUGAGACAGUUACUGUGAGAAUAGGACACAAACACCAGCUAUUGCCUGCAUUUGGGAAAUUGCUGAAUCGCACAGCAUACAUGUCAUAAUCAGAAAAUUACUGCCAAAUAAUUGUAAAAUUUGUAAAAUAGAAAAAUAUAUAAAGUAGAUACUAAAUACAGACACUUCAAUAUUUUGUUGAAGCUAUUGACUGUACAAUUAAACAUUUUCAAAGGGUGUAAUUUAUUUAAAAUUGUCUCAUUUUGGUAAAAUUUAUGUGAACUUUUAAAAGCUAAAUAUUAAACUUAAUAUGCUAUGUAAAUAUAUACAUAUAUACAUUUAAUGAUGUAUUUUUUUAAAACAUUGGCUUGCUUUUAUUUGUUAAAGUGCAAGUGUUACAUACAGCUUUGUAAAGUUGAGAGGGGUUUUACAUUUUCCAUUAAAAGGACUUUAUCAAAAA
rnacentral:lncRNA from 1 species